AGAGGUUUUUCAUGGUUUCAUCUUUCCCAUUCUUUCUUUCUAAUCGGUCCCUUUCUUCCCUCAAAUUAAUUUAUGGUUGCCCAUUAAACUCUUUCUGUAAUCAUUGUCACCGAAAAGAAAAACCCCAAAUCUCUUUCUUCUUUAUGCGAUUAGGUCAGAUUUCAAAGGCCUCUUUCAAACGCCGCUUCGUUCUUUCGUCUUGCGGUUAAUUCCCAAAAGCGGAUUUGCUUGUCAAUCGAUGUUCUUCCCUGGACCGAUUAACGUGCUCUGAUGCCAAUUGUUGAAAUUAAUCUUGCAAUAAAUCACAGACACACACGCACACCCUUUUGUGUACAUACGAUACAUAUAUACGGUUUUCUAACGGGUGUCUCUAAGAGUCAUGUCGGUUCGUUGAAUGGGUGCAGUUUGAUCAAAUAAUCGCACUAUGGCUCAACCGGAGGUAUGAGUGUGGUUAUGGGUGUCUGUCUGCGAUUCUCUUACGGUGAGAGGGUUGGAGACCGCUUUAGCCUAUAAUUUAUUGAUUCUAAGCUGAUUCGUCGGGCUUAGAGUUUGUAUUGGGGUCGAAUGGUUUUCGGAUGUUUUGCAGGGUUUUUUGUAUAUGGAAUGUAUUGUUGAUCAUGAAUGUGCCGUAUGGCUCAUCCUCUAUUUAUAUAGAGGGUAAAUGACUUGUAGAGGAGGGUAAGAGAAUUAGGGUGAAUCUCGUCCUCCUUUGUAAAUAUCUUGGUUCCUUCUUGAGGAGAUUUAUAGUAAUCUUGUUACCAAAUCGUAUCCGAGUGUAUCGGAGCUUAAUAGGAUAAUUAUGGAAAAGAUCUUAUCCGCUCCUUCUUGUAUAUUUCCUCGGAGCUGAGUAAUUGUUACUUUCGGAGCUCCGGGGUAAUGAGCUCUGUUAUGGGUAUAAGUGUUUUUACUUGUACGAAGGUGACUUCGUAUUCUGAUUCUGCUUCGGGUACGGAGCUAGAGCUCCGUAUGGAUAUAUCAUUAGGUGCCAAGACAGUUACAUAAUUGUAUGCCCUUUUACAUUUGCAUAGACAACCCCUUAUAUUUGACACAUA